CGCAGCGUGUUGCGCACAUUUGAUAAGAAAAAAAAUUGACUUUAUUAGACUGAAAUAAGCAAGAUUUCCCGUUAAAUACAUGAUAUAUACCGAGGCGGCUUUGCAUUAGCCUACGGUGUAGACUCCAGCAGAAACGUGUUUCUUUUCACGAAACGUGUUUCUGCUGGCGGGGGUCUACACCGUAGGCUAGCUUUGCAUGUGCUCU